rnacentral:rRNA from 1 species
CCUAAUACAUGCAAGUCGAGCGAAUGGAUUAAGAGCUUGCUCUUAUGAAGUUAGCGGCGGACGGGUGAGUAACACGUGGGUAACCUGCCCAUAAGACUGGGAUAACUCCGGGAAACCGGGGCUAAUACCGGAUAACAUUUUGAACCGCAUGGUUUGAAAUUGAAAGGCGGCUUCGGCUGUCACUUAUGGAUGGACCCGCGUCGCAUUAGCUAGUUGGUGAGGUAACGGCUCACCAAGGCAACGAUGCGUAGCCGACCUGAGAGGGUGAUCGGCCACACUGGGACUGAGACACGGCCCAGACUCCUACGGGAGGCAGCAGUAGGGAAUCUUCCGCAAUGGACGAAAGUCUGACGGAGCAACGCCGCGUGAGUGAUGAAGGCUUUCGGGUCGUAAAACUCUGUUGUUAGGGAAGAACAAGUGCUAGUUGAAUAAGCUGGCACCUUGACGGUACCUAACCAGAAAGCCACGGCUAACUACGUGCCAGCAGCCGCGGUAAUACGUAGGUGGCAAGCGUUAUCCGGAAUUAUUGGGCGUAAAGCGCGCGCAGGUGGUUUCUUAAGUCUGAUGUGAAAGCCCACGGCUCAACCGUGGAGGGUCAUUGGAAACUGGGAGACUUGAGUGCAGAAGAGGAAAGUGGAAUUUCAUGUGUAGCGGUGAAAUGCGUAGAGAUAUGGAGGAACACCAGUGGCGAAGGCGACUUUCUGGUCUGUAACUGACACUGAGGCGCGAAAGCGUGGGGAGCAAACAGGAUUAGAUACCCUGGUAGUCCACGCCGUAAACGAUGAGUGCUAAGUGUUAGAGGGUUUCCGCCCUUUAGUGCUGAAGUUAACGCAUUAAGCACUCCGCCUGGGGAGUACGGCCGCAAGGCUGAAACUCAAAGGAAUUGACGGGGGCCCGCACAAGCGGUGGAGCAUGUGGUUUAAUUUGAAGCAACGCGAAGAACCUUACCAGGUCUUGACAUCCUCUGACAACCCUAGAGAUAGGGCUUCUCCUUCGGGAGCAGAGUGACAGGUGGUGCAUGGUUGUCGUCAGCUCGUGUCGUGAGAUGUUGGGUUAAGUCCCGCAACGAGCGCAACCCUUGAUCUUAGUUGCCAUCAUUAAGUUGGGCACUCUAAGGUGACUGCCGGUGACAAACCGGAGGAAGGUGGGGAUGACGUCAAAUCAUCAUGCCCCUUAUGACCUGGGCUACACACGUGCUACAAUGGACGGUACAAAGAGCUGCAAGACCGCGAGGUGGAGCUAAUCUCAUAAAACCGUUUUCAGUUUGGAUUGUAGGCUGCAACUCGCCUACAUGAAGCUGGAAUCGCUAGUAAUCGCGGAUCAGCAUGCCGCGGUGAAUACGUUUCCGGGCCUUGUACACACCGCCCGUCACACCACGAGAGUUUGUAACACCCGAAGUCGGUGGGGUAACCUUUUU